rfam:Zootermopsis nevadensis contig28936, whole genome shotgun sequence.
GCCACGGUGGUCUCGCGGUUAGAACGCUGGCCUUGUAAUCCUGGGGUCUCGGGUUCGAUUCCCGGCAGUGCCC